rnacentral:rRNA from 1 species
AGAGUUUGAUCCUGGCUCAGAUUGAACGCUGGCGGCAGGCCUAACACAUGCAAGUCGAGCGAGAAAUCUCCUUCGGGAGAGAGUAGAGCGGCGGACGGGUGAGUAACGCGUGGGAAUCUGCCCAGUAGCGGGGGAUAGCCCGGGGAAACUCGGAUUAAUACCGCAUACGCCCUACGGGGGAAAGCAGGGGAUCUUCGGACCUUGCGCUAUUGGAUGAGCCCGCGUCAGAUUAGCUUGUUGGUGGGGUAACGGCCUACCAAGGCGACGAUCUGUAGCUGGUCUGAGAGGAUGAUCAGCCACACUGGGACUGAGACACGGCCCAGACUCCUACGGGAGGCAGCAGUGGGGAAUAUUGGACAAUGGGGGCAACCCUGAUCCAGCCAUGCCGCGUGUGUGAAGAAGGCUUUCGGGUUGUAAAGCACUUUCAGCGAGGAGGAAAGCCUGAUGGUUAACACCCAUCGGGGGUGACGUUACUCGCAGAAGAAGCACCGGCUAACUCCGUGCCAGCAGCCGCGGUAAUACGGAGGGUGCAAGCGUUAAUCGGAAUUACUGGGCGUAAAGCGCACGUAGGCGGCGGAUUAAGCUAGCUGUGAAAGCCCAGGGCUUAACCUUGGAACUGCAGUUAGAACUGGUUCGCUAGAGUACGGUAGAGGAGUGUGGAAUUUCCUGUGUAGCGGUGAAAUGCGUAGAUAUAGGAAGGAACAUCAGUGGCGAAAGCGACACUCUGGACUGAUACUGACGCUGAGGUGCGAAAGCGUGGGGAGCAAACAGGAUUAGAUACCCUGGUAGUCACGCCGUAAACGAUGUCUACUAGCCGUUGGGGCCCUUGAGGCUUUAGUGGCGCAGCUAACGCACUAAGUAGACCGCCUGGGGAGUACGGCCGCAAGGUUAAAACUCAAAUGAAUUGACGGGGGCCCGCACAAGCGGUGGAGCAUGUGGUUUAAUUCGACGCAACGCGAAGAACCUUACCAGGCCUUGACAUCCUGCGAACUUUCUAGAGAUAGAUUGGUGCCUUCGGGAGCGCAGUGACAGGUGCUGCAUGGCCGUCGUCAGCUCGUGUCGUGAGAUGUUGGGUUAAGUCCCGUAACGAGCGCAACCCCUGUCCUUAGUUGCCAGCGAUUCGGUCGGGAACUCUAAGGAGACUGCCGGUGACAAACCGGAGGAAGGUGGGGAUGACGUCAGGUCAUCAUGGCCCUUACGGCCUGGGCUACACACGUGCUACAAUGGGCGGUACAAAGGGUUGCCAAUCCGCGAGGUGGAGCUAAUCCCGAAAAACCGUUCGUAGUCCGGAUUGGAGUCUGCAACUCGACUCCAUGAAGUCGGAAUCGCUAGUAAUCGUAAAUCAGAAUGUUACGGUGAAUACGUUCCCGGGCCUUGUACACACCGCCCGUCACACCAUGGGAGUGGGUUGCACCAGAAGUGGCUAGUCUAACUUCGGAGGACGGUCACCACGGUGUGAUUCAUGACUGGGGUGAAGUCGUAACAAGGUAACC